ACACACACACAAACGCACUCAGAUUUCCCUGACCCUGAUUUUCCUCCUGUGACCUUUUCGGGGCCGGGCUCUCACCCUAAAGAAGCAGCCCCGCCCUGGGGUGGCCCCACCCUCUCCUGGGACCUGUCAUAAGCCGGACCCCGGGCACCUGGUUGCGCAGUCCCAGCCGCCUUCUCCAGGCAGUGGAACCUUCGGGCUCCUGAGCUUCAGGAUGGUUCGUACUAAGACAUGGACCCUGAAGAAGCACUUUGUUGGCUAUCCUACUAAUAGUGACUUUGAGUUGAAGACAGCUGAGCUCCCACCCUUAAAAAAUGGAGAGGUCCUGCUUGAAGCUUUGUUCCUCACCGUGGAUCCUUACAUGAGAUUCGCAGCCAGAAGUUUGAAGGAAGGUGAUAAAAUGAUGGGGCAGCAAGUGGCCAGGUAAUUAUUUCCAUUUGUCCCAAUGCUUGGAAAAUAUAUCUCCUCUACCUCCUGCUGGGUCCUGUCUCUGUCCAUUGCUCCUACAAUUUCUUCAGCCUGUGUUGUUCACUCACUGUGUGAUCUUGGAAUCAACUUGGGAAAUUCUGUCCCCUUCCUGACUAGCUGGAAAGGAGAGAAGGAUGUGAAAUUGUCAUUUUUU
rnacentral:sRNA from 1 species